UACGUAGGGGGCGAGCGUUGUCCGGAUUUAUUGGGCGUAAAGAGCGUGUAGGCGGCCAGGUAGGUCUGCUGUGAAAACUCGAGGCUCAACCUCGAGACGUCGGCGGAAACCAUCUGGCUAGAGUCCGGAAGAGGAGAGUGGAAUUCCUGGUGUAGCAGUGAAAUGCGUAGAUAUGCGGAGGAACACCGAUGGCGAAGGCAAUCCCCUGGGCCUGCACUGACGCUCAUGCACGAAAGCGUGGGGAGCAAACAGG
rnacentral:rRNA from 1 species